rnacentral:lncRNA from 1 species
UGAGCAUGUUCUUUCUCAUAAAUAAAUCAACUUUGGAGUUAAGCCCAAAGCCAAAAGCUUAUAUAAAAUUGUUCUGUUUUAGUUUAGAGAUUUCAUUAAUAUUUAGUUGCACCUUCUGAAGAAAUUAAAUAAUAAAGGCUCUAGCCAAGAAUAAUUGUCUCCCUAUUUAACACCUAUUUAGACAUCUAAACUUUUAUGAAAUGAAAAAUAAAACCUGUAAGAUAACUGCCUCUGAAUUGCCAUUGCUACAAAUUGUUUACAAAUGUCAACCAAUGCAAAACAAUUAUGUAGUAAUUUGAUGCAACGCUUUUUUUUUUUUUUUUUUUUCUUUUUUUUUUACGUUAACCACAACUGCCAUAAUCAUAACUUUAUUUAUGUAUUUGUUUAUUUUUUUUAUUAAUUGUGCAGUCAGUUUCAAGGGUAAUGGUGUAAAUGAUGACAACAUUGUCAUUUUUGGGUGAAAUAUCAUCCUUUUUUGUUUUUGCGUCUUGCAUAUGAUAUUCCUCCUCUGACUGCUGAUUGAUGUGCAUGCAGGGCCAGCGAGGGAAAGAGGGAUUCAGUGGAGGAAAUCCUGCACCCAUCUGAGUCCCAGUCUCCCAUGAGAAAUUAUUCCUGGCUCACUUGCUGUGAGCAGAAGCUGGAGAUAUACGCUCAUACUGUAAUUACAGGAUGCAUGGAGCAUGACCUGUCAGACUGAGAGAAGUGCCUCGGUCGCUCCUUCAUCCUUCUCUCUUUCUCUCCGCACUGAUGUGUGUCCACAGCCCACUCUUGAACCACCUGGAGGCCUGUGUGUGUGUGUGUGUGUGUGUUGUAUAGUGGAUGACAGGCGCUCUCACUCUCGCUGUGGGUCACUGUCAGAGAGGCAGCAGGUGUUACACAGAUUCUCCAGCCAGAUGAAUCCACAUUCUCAUGCCUGUUUACUCAUUUGA